rnacentral:rRNA from 1 species
AUAAUGGGUCAGCGACUUAUAUUCUGUAGCAAGGUUAACCGAAUAGGGGAGCCGAAGGGAAACCGAGUCUUAACUGGGCGUUAAGUUGCAGGGUAUAGACCCGAAACCCGGUGAUCUAGCCAUGGGCAGGUUGAAGGUUGGGUAACACUAACUGGAGGACCGAACCGACUAAUGUUGAAAAAUUAGCGGAUGACUUGUGGCUGGGGGUGAAAGGCCAAUCAAACCGGGAGAUAGCUGGUUCUCCCCGAAAGCUAUUUAGGUAGCGCCUCGUGAAUUCAUCUCCGGGGGUAGAGCACUGUUUCGGCAAGGGGGUCAUCCCGACUUACCAACCCGAUGCAAACUGCGAAUACCGGAGAAUGUUAUCACGGGAGACAC